CCCUCCUACGGGACGCAGUAGUGGGGAAUUUUGGACAAUGGGCGCAAGCCUGAUCCAGCUAUUCCGCGUGUGGGAUGAAGGCCCUCGGGUUGUAAACCCCUUUUGUAGAGAACGAAAAGACACCUUCGAAUAAAGGGUGUUGCUGACGGUACUCUAAGAAUAAGCACCGGCUAACUACGUGCCAGCAGCCGCGGUAAUACGUAGGGUGCGAGCGUUAAUCGGAAUUACUGGGCGUAAAGGGUGCGCAGGCGGUUGAGUAAGACAGAUGUGAAAUCCCCGGGCUUAAAUCGGGAAUGGCAAAAGUG
rnacentral:rRNA from 1 species